rnacentral:rRNA from 1 species
GACGCUGGCGGUAGGCUUAACACAUGCAAGUCGUGCGAGAAAGUAUCUUCGGAUAUGAGUAGAGCGGCGGACGGGUGAGUAACGCGUAGGAAUCUACCUAGUAGAAGGGGAUAGCCCGGGGAAACCCGGAUUAAUACCGUAUACCUCCUUCGGGAGAAAGAAGGCCUCUCUUUGAAGCUUUCGCUACUAGAUGAGCCUGCGUAAGAUUAGCUUGUUGGUGAGGUAAAGGCUCACCAAGGCGACGAUCUUUAGCUGGUCUGAGAGGACGAUCAGCCACAUUGGGACUGAGACACGGCCCAGACUCCUACGGGAGGCAGCAGUGGGGAAUAUUGGACAAUGGGCGCAAGCCUGAUCCAGCCAUACCGCGUGUGUGAAGAAGGCCUUCGGGUUGUAAAGCACUUUAAGCAGGGAGAAAAAGUUAUAAGUUAAUACCUUAUAACCCUGAUGUUACCUGCAGAAUAAGCACCGGCUAAUUCCGUGCCAGCAGCCGCGGUAAUACGGAAGGUGCAAGCGUUAAUCGGAAUUACUGGGCGUAAAGCGCGCGUAGGUGGUUUGUUAAGUUGGAUGUGAAAGCCCUGGGCUUAACCUAGGAACUGCAUCCAAAACUAACUCACUAGAGUACGAUAGAGGGAGGUAGAAUUCAUAGUGUAGCGGUGGAAUGCGUAGAUAUUAUGAAGAAUACCAGUGGCGAAGGCGGCCUCCUGGAUCUGUACUGACACUGAGGUGCGAAAGCGUGGGUAGCGAACAGGAUUAGAUACCCUGGUAGUCCACGCCGUAAACGAUGACAACUAGCCGUUGGGAGACAAUGUCUUUCAGUGGCGCAGCUAACGCUUUAAGUUGUCCGCCU